GGAUGUAAGAGCAGUCUGGCUGUUGCUCCAUUGAGUGCCAGAGUUGACUGGGCUGAUCUGACUGGUUAGGCGGUGUCCCCUUCCUCCCUCACCACUCCACGUUCAUCUCUCCUGAAGCCCUGUGCUUGGUUGAAGAGGAUGACCUUGUCCCUAGUCCAGGAUAUAUGAGUAGCUGCGUUCCCCUGCUAGAACCUGCAAAUAAGCUCUCAAGGACAGGAGAAUAUCUUAUUUUCAUUUUUGUCUCUUCUCAUUCUAU
rnacentral:snRNA from 1 species